AUUGAACGCUGGCGGCAGGCCUAACACAUGCAAGUCGAGCGAGAAAGGUCUUCGGACUGAGUACAGCGGCGGACGGGUGAGUAAAGCGUAGGAAUCUACCUGGUAGUGGGGGAUAACUUGGGGAAACUCAAACUAAUACCGCAUACGCCCUACGGGGGAAAGCGGGGGACCGUUCGGGCCUCGCGCUAUCAGAUGAGCCUGCGUAGGAUUAGCUAGUUGGUGAGGUAAAGGCUCACCAAGGCGACGAUCCUUAGCUGGUCUGAGAGGAUGAUCAGCCACACUGGGACUGAGACACGGCCCAGACUCCUACGGGAGGCAGCAGUGGGGAAUAUUGCGCAAUGGGCGAAAGCCUGACGCAGCCAUGCCGCGUGUGUGAAGAAGGCCUUAGGGUUGUAAAGCACUUUCAAUUGGGAAGAAAGUUGGUCGUUAAUAGCGGCCAGCCCUGACAUUACCUUUAGAAGAAGGACCGGCUAACUCCGUGCCAGCAGCCG
rnacentral:rRNA from 1 species